CGGCGUGCUUAACACAUGCAAGUCGAACGGAAAGGCCCUGCUUUUGUGGGGUGCUCGAGUGGCGAACGGGUGAGUAACACGUGAGUAACCUGCCCUUGACUUUGGGAUAACUUCAGGAAACUGGGGCUAAUACCGGAUAGGAGCUCCUGCUGCAUGGUGGGGGUUGGAAAGUUUCGGCGGUUGGGGAUGGACUCGCGGCUUAUCAGCUUGUUGGUGGGGUAGUGGCUUACCAAGGCUUUGACGGGUAGCCGGCCUGAGAGGGUGACCGGCCACAUUGGGACUGAGAUACGGCCCAGACUCCUACGGGAGGCAGCAGUGGGGAAUAUUGCACAAUGGGCGGAAGCCUGAUGCAGCAACGCCGCGUGCGGGAUGACGGCCUUCGGGUUGUAAACCGCUUUCGCCUGUGACGAAGCGUGAGUGACGGUAAUGGGUAAAGAAGCACCGGCUAACUACGUGCCAGCAGCCGCGGUGAUACGUAGGGUGCGAGCGUUGUCCGGAUUUAUUGGGCGUAAAGGGCUCGUAGGUGGUUGAUCGCGUCGGAAGUGUAAUCUUGGGGCUUAACCCUGAGCGUGCUUUCGAUACGGGUUGACUUGAGGAAGGUAGGGGAGAAUGGAAUUCCUGGUGGAGCGGUGGAAUGCGCAGAUAUCAGGAGGAACACCAGUGGCGAAGGCGGUUCUCUGGGCCUUUCCUGACGCUGAGGAGCGAAAGCGUGGGGAGCGAACAGGCUUAGAUACCCUGGUAGUCCACGCUGUAAACGGUGGGUACUAGGUGUGGGGUCCAUUCCACGGGUUCCGUGCCGUAGCUAACGCUUUAAGUACCCCGCCUGGGGAGUACGGCCGCAAGGCUAAAACUCAAAGGAAUUGACGGGGCCCCGCACAAGCGGCGGAGCAUGCGGAUUAAUUCGAUGCAACGCGUAGAACCUUACCUGGGUUUGACAUGGAUCGGGAGUGCUCAGAGAUGGGUGUGCCUCUUUUGGGGUCGGUUCACAGGUGGUGCAUGGCUGUCGUCAGCUCGUGUCGUGAGAUGUUGGGUUAAGUCCCGCAACGAGCGCAACCCUUGUUCACUGUUGCCAGCACGUUAUGGUGGGGACUCAGUGGAGACCGCCGGGGUCAACUCGGAGGAAGGUGGGGAUGACGUCAAGUCAUCAUGCCCCUUAUGUCCAGGGCUUCACGCAUGCUACAAUGGCUGGUACAGAGAGUGGCGAGCCUGUGAGGGUGAGCGAAUCUCGGAAAGCCGGCCUCAGUUCGGAUUGGGGUCUGCAACUCGACCUCAUGAAGUCGGAGUCGCUAGUAAUCGCAGAUCAGCAACGCUGCGGUGAAUACGUUCCCGGGGCUUGUACACACCGCCCGUCAAGUCAUGAAAGUUGGUAACACCCGAAGCCGGUGGCCUAACCGUUGUGGGGGAGCCGUCGAAGGUGGGACUGGUGAUUAGGACUAAGUCAUAAC
rnacentral:rRNA from 1 species